rnacentral:rRNA from 1 species
GACAGAGGUGCCAAGCGUUAGGCGGAAUCACUGGGCUUAAAGCGUGUGUAGGCGGAAUCGUAAGUACCUUGUGAAAUCCCACGGCUCAACCGUGGAACUGCUUGGUAUACUGCGUUUCUUGGGCCAAUUAGGGGCAGCCGGAACAAAUGGUGGAGCGGUGAAAUGCGUAGAGAUCCGGAAGAACACCAGUGGCGAAGGCGGCUCUCUAGUACGGUACUGACGCUGAGACGCGAAAGCGUGGGGAGCGAACAGG